UCAGUAAAGACAAGGUUUCAACAUGUUAGACAGGCUGAUCUCAAACUCCUGACCUCAAGCCAUCCGCUUGCCUUGGCCUCCCAAAGUGCCACCAUUCCUGGCCACAUAUUUCUGCUAUAGAAAUAUUUUACUACUCCAUAGACUGUACUUUUAUUUCUUUGAGUUUCAUUUGUUAAUUUCUAGACACUUUUUCUGCUUUUAAACAUGAUGAACAGAACUUUGAUAAUAUAAUAAUUUUAAUAAUGCUUAGAAUUAUUACAUGAAAAGAAAUGAAAGUUUCUCCUCUGAGGCUUGGCUGUGCUGGCACCAAUAAUGCCAGGAGACUUCAUCCUAUAACGUACAUCUAUUUAGCACCCAAAGAGAGUCGCUAUUAUGCCCCAACCCAUCUUUAUCCUAUUAGGAAAGGCAGCUAGUCUCAUUCUUAAAAUCUAUCAUCCAGGUGCUUAGGGGAAAUACAAUCUAAAUUUCUUUUCAGGAGAUGUAAGAGAUUGGAAAACUGGUCCUUUGGUUUUUCAUACACUAUUCAACACAACACUUCUGACACUGGAUGUGUGGAUUUAUUUCCCUAUACACCAAAUAAUUUUCCAUUAGACAUCAGGGGGUUGUCUUACAAUUCAGCUCUGACACAUCUCCCUAGAGUUAGAGUCAGAUCUCACAGGUCAAGGCUCAGUCUCUCAAGACUGCUUCUCACUCCAGAUGCCAAUGGCAAGUCCCAGGUUGCAGCCCAUACUUCUGACUGGCUAUAAAUUGGCAUACCCAUGACCCCUCUCUUCAGGUUUUAUCAGUUUGCUAAAGUGGCUCACAGAAUUCAGGGAAACGUGUUUACCCAUUUAUUGUAAAGGGUUUUACAAAGGAUACAGAAGAACAGUCAGACGGAGAGAUGCCUAGGGCAAGGCAGGUGGGAAAGGGUGCAGGGCUUCCACGUCUGCUCUCAGCAGACCACCCUUCAGGCACCUUUAUGUGGUCGGCUCUCCAGAGGCUCCCUGAACCCACUUCUCUUGGGUUUUUUGGAGGUUCCAUUACAUAGGCAUGAUUGAUGAUAUCACUGGCCAUUGGUGAUUAACUUAACUGUUAGCCCCUCUCACCUCCUGGGAAGUCGAAUGGUGGAACUUAAAGUUCCAAUCCUCUAAUCACAGGAUUGGUUUCCCUGGCAAACCAAUGGAGGUGGGGUUUUGCCAUGCUGCCCAGACUGGUCUCAAACUCCUGAGCUCAAGCAAUUCUCCCCGCCCCCACAACUGGCUUCCCAAAGUACUGGGAUUAUAGGCAUGAGCCACUGUGCUCAGCCAUCUUCUCAUUUUUAUAACAGUUGAAUUCCCUAAAAUAAGUCUGCGAUUAAGUUUCUAGUUUCAACAUCUUACAACCAAAUAAAUGUAGUAUUUAAGAGUUCUCACUUUAAUGUCAGACAGACCAGGGCUCAUAUACAGAGCACUGACUGAGAAGUUACUUAAUUUCCUUAGUUUCCUUAUAUGUAAAUUCACAGAUUUGUAAAAAGGAUUAAGUGAGAUAUAUAUGUAAUGUGCUUAGCACAGUACCUGGCCCAGAGUCAGUGCUCAGGAAAUGUUAGAGCUCAUUAAUAUGUAUUAUAAUCAAAUAAAAUAUGAGAAGACUGAAAAUAGAAAGAAGAAAAAAAUCACCCAUAGUUCCAACACCUGAACUGAUUUUGAACUAUUUUCAUUUCGUCUUUUAUCUGUGUGUAAGUGAAAGAAAUGUUAUAUAUGAUUCUGAGAGGCAGUCCUGGUAGCCAGAAUGCCCUUUGUUUGCCAAGUCAUCAUAGGUGGUGGGGUUAAAAUCUGGAGGUGGAAGCUGGGGUGUGUGAGUGCAGAACUGCUCUGCAUAAUGAUGGGAAAAGGCAAAUGAGAUUCUGUAAGGGAUAAAUAGUUUAAUCUCUGGAUUAGGUCUUUUAAGCACUUCCUAAAGACAGAGAAGGAAGCCAUUAAGUGUUCUGAGUCUUAGAACUGCCGCUGUCAGACUAGAUCACUUUUGUGAUAUCUCGUAUACCAGUUUCCAAUUUGCUGAAGGUAUUGAGUCCCUGAGAGCUGAGCCUGAGACACUUGUGCCAAGAGUCCUUUAUCAAUCCUUCUAUCUCUUCCAAGUCAUUCUUUUCUAACCCAUUCCUCCUAGGGCAGCCGUAGUGAUCUCUUCCAUGCUUCCCUAUCUCAGGUCAGGCCCUUUUGAAAGUGGGCAUACUCAUGAGCCAUCUUAAAUCACAUUAGUCAGUAGUGCUGCUAAUGCCUUAUUAGUAGAGAAUCUGGACCAGAAAGAUUGCUUUCCUAUGGGCUUGGGUAAAAGCCACUAGAACCCAAAGAGACAAUACUUGUCCUCUCAGAAUCAUAUAACCAAAAGCUAAUGUUACUGAGUGAUGGUCUAGGGAAAAAAAUUAUUUACUACUAAAAUCUAGGAGGCAAUAUUUUAAUUUGAUAGUUUACUUUUAUUUCUAUUCACAGAUUGAACAUUUUAGAGUGGUUUGAAGGUUAUCACUUCUCUAUGAUGUUCUCUCAGUCUCUAUUUGAUAAGCGAUUUGAGAUUACUAAUUUAGUUUAUGAACCUAUGGAAGAAGAAUGUGAAUGGAAACCAGAUGAAGAAGAUGAGAUUUUGGAAGAGUUGAAAGAAAAUGUCAAGAUUGAAGAUGUGAAAAAGGAUGAAGAAAAAGAAGACCCCAAAGGAAUUCAUGAAUUUUGGUUAACUGUUUUUAAGAAUGUUGACUUACUCAGUGAUAUGGUUCAGGAACAUGAUGAAUCUAUUCUGAAGCACUUGAAAGAUAAUAAAAUGAAGUUCUCAGAUGCUGGCCAGCCUAUGAGUUUUGUCUUAGAAUUCCACUUUGAGCCCAGUGAAUAUUUCACAAAUGAAGUGCUGACAAAGACAUAUAGGAUGAGGUCAGAACCAGAUAAUUCUGAUCCCUUUUCUAUUGAUGGACAAGAAAUUAUGGGUUGUACAGGGUGCCAGAUAGAUUGAAAAAAGGAAAGAAUGUCACUUUGAAAACCAUUAUGAAGAAGCAGAGACACAAGGGAUGUGGGGCAGUUCGUACUGUGACUAAAACAAUUUCCAAUGACUCUUUAAUUUUUCUGCCCUUCCUGAAGUUCCUGAGAAUGGAGAUCUGGAUGAUACUGCGGAAGCUAUUCUUGCUAUAGACUUUGAAAUUGGUCACUUUUUAUGUGAGCAUACAAUCCCAAGAUCAGUGUUAUACUUUACAGGAGAAGCUACAGAAGAUAAUGAUAAUGAUUAUGAUGAAGAAGUGGAUAAGGAAGGGGAUGAAGAAGGAGAUGAGGAAAAUGAUCUAGACAAUGACCCAAAGAAGGAUCAAAACCCAGCAGAGAGCAAGCAACAGUGAAGCAAAAUGUAUGUGGCCUUGAGGAUAACCUGCACUGUAAUAGCCUAAACACAACUCUUAUUUACUUACAGCCUUAUGUUUUUGUAUUUUCUUGGUAGACUAGGUAAUCUUUUAAAGGGCAGAAAACUGAUAUUUUAAAGACCAAUUUGUUCUCCCCAGCAUUUUAGCUAGUUUUUCUGCCAGAUAGAUUGAAUGCACAAGUUCUGUCAUUCAUGUUCAUUCACUGCUACAUAAUUUGGUUUUUCUGGAAUAUUUUUAUGUAGCUCUUGGAGUACAUCUAUGCAUCUAUGAAUUAACAACUGUUAAAGGAAACACUUUUUUUUCAUAAUUUUUUCCUUGAAGAACAAAGUAUAUUUUCAGCUGGUUAUUGAAUAGGGUUAAGUCUGCUUGGAUUAGCUGUGCCUUUCAUUACUUUGUUACAGAAAUGCAGUGACUUCUACUAGGACAAUUUAUUCUUUAAAAAAAAUGGCAAGACAACCAUAUGGUUAAGAAUUUCCAGUAUGACCACACCCAAUAACUGUAUUAGAUUGUUAAUCAAUUAUUGUGUUAUAGGUGACAUAGUUAACUGAAAGUAACCUGAUUCAGUAUAGCUACUGGUAUCACAGUGAGGUGAAUAAAACAGGAUUUUCAGAAGUUAGCCUGAAUUUAACUAUAUUUUUAAAUUUAACCUACAUUAACUAUCUUUUAUUUGUGGUAGGGUCUACCUUCUGCUUCCCUGGAAAGGAUGAAUUUACAUCAUUUGACAAGCCUAUUUUCAUUAUUUGUUGUUUGCUUGCUUUUGCAGCCUAAAAUAAAAAUUUCAAAUACAAUUUUAGUUCUU